AAAUUGAAGAGUUUGAUCAUGGCUCAGAUUGAACGCUGGCGGCAGGCCUAACACAUGCAAGUCGAACGGUAGCAGGAAGAAGCUUGCUUCUUUGCUGACGAGUGGCGGACGGGUGAGUAAUGUCUGGGAAACUGCCUGAUGGAGGGGGAUAACUACUGGAAACGGUAGCUAAUACCGCAUAACGUCGCAAGACCAAAGAGGGGGACCUUCGGGCCUCUUGCCAUCGGAUGUGCCCAGAUGGGAUUAGCUAGUAGGUGGGGUAACGGCUCACCUAGGCGACGAUCCCUAGCUGGUCUGAGAGGAUGACCAGCCACACUGGAACUGAGACACGGUCCAGACUCCUACGGGAGGCAGCAGUGGGGAAUAUUGCACAAUGGGCGCAAGCCUGAUGCAGCCAUGCCGCGUGUAUGAAGAAGGCCUUCGGGUUGUAAAGUACUUUCAGCGGGGAGGAAGGGAGUAAAGUUAAUACCUUUGCUCAUUGACGUUACCCGCAGAAGAAGCACCGGCUAACUCCGUGCCAGCAGCCGCGGUAAUACGGAGGGUGCAAGCGUUAAUCGGAAUUACUGGGCGUAAAGCGCACGCAGGCGGUUUGUUAAGUCAGAUGUGAAAUCCCCGGGCUCAACCUGGGAACUGCAUCUGAUACUGGCAAGCUUGAGUCUCGUAGAGGGGGGUAGAAUUCCAGGUGUAGCGGUGAAAUGCGUAGAGAUCUGGAGGAAUACCGGUGGCGAAGGCGGCCCCCUGGACGAAGACUGACGCUCAGGUGCGAAAGCGUGGGGAGCAAACAGGAUUAGAUACCCUGGUAGUCCACGCCGUAAACGAUGUCGACUUGGAGGUUGUGCCCUUGAGGCGUGGCUUCCGGAGCUAACGCGUUAAGUCGACCGCCUGGGGAGUACGGCCGCAAGGUUAAAACUCAAAUGAAUUGACGGGGGCCCGCACAAGCGGUGGAGCAUGUGGUUUAAUUCGAUGCAACGCGAAGAACCUUACCUGGUCUUGACAUCCACGGAAGUUUUCAGAGAUGAGAAUGUGCCUUCGGGAACCGUGAGACAGGUGCUGCAUGGCUGUCGUCAGCUCGUGUUGUGAAAUGUUGGGUUAAGUCCCGCAACGAGCGCAACCCUUAUCCUUUGUUGCCAGCGGUCCGGCCGGGAACUCAAAGGAGACUGCCAGUGAUAAACUGGAGGAAGGUGGGGAUGACGUCAAGUCAUCAUGGCCCUUACGACCAGGGCUACACACGUGCUACAAUGGCGCAUACAAAGAGAAGCGACCUCGCGAGAGCAAGCGGACCUCAUAAAGUGCGUCGUAGUCCGGAUUGGAGUCUGCAACUCGACUCCAUGAAGUCGGAAUCGCUAGUAAUCGUGGAUCAGAAUGCCACGGUGAAUACGUUCCCGGGCCUUGUACACACCGCCCGUCACACCAUGGGAGUGGGUUGCAAAAGAAGUAGGUAGCUUAACCUUCGGGAGGGCGCUUACCACUUUGUGAUUCAUGACUGGGGUGAAGUCGUAACAAGGUAACCGUAGGGGAACCUGCGGUUGGAUCACCUCCUUACCUUAAAGAAGC
rnacentral:rRNA from 1 species